rnacentral:lncRNA from 1 species
CGUUAGUUAGAUAUGGGUUGAACGUAGCCCCUAAAUUCGAAGCAGAACUACCAUGAAUCGACAAUCCCAAGCACACCCCGCUUCAUAAUUCCAAACGCAACCUUAACAGCAUAACUCGGACUAGCAAAUUUUGAUCUCGUAAAAAAACUCAAACCGAGACAUAAAUAACUAAAUCUCAAAUCGGAAUAGAGAAAGUCAGUAAUGGAGAAAAGCACAAAGUUCGAUUAUAGUUCGAUUCAGCUUUGAAAGAACCUCAAUUAUAUUAACACGAACUUUGUCACAGUAAAUUCCGACGAACAACUAGCGAGAACAUAGAUUCGGCGAUAGACCUUCGUACAACAUCUCAAUUUCAUGAGUUCGGAUUGGCCUCGAACUCAAAUAUGUCCAUUUUUGGAACAAAAUCAGAGAACAAGAAGAACAAAAUAUUUUUUUUGGUUUUUGUUUUUUAGUUUUCUGAUUUUUCAAAGAUGCCAAGAACCCUAGAUCCCUAAUCUACUUCUGCCCCAUUCGUGUUUUUGUAUGUGACUGUGCGUGCGUGUUCUGGCGAACUAUUGUGAAUGGGAAGAAACAAAAGCAACAAUAUGAGUUCAUUCUCGCCGGAUUCCGGUAGUAAUAAUAUGGAACCAGCUGUUGUUGAUCCUUUUAGCUUAGGUCUGUGUUUUUGUUUCGAAGAAUAAGCAACCACUUCUUUUUGUCCUGGUAUAUUUUUGUCCCAUCUCCUUGCUAGGGUUUUAUCCAAGGUUCCAUGUAGAGGAUGAAGAAGCCUAGGGUUUGUGUGUUCAAAACCUUAAGAAGUAGAACGAGGGUCUUCUCUGGUGUUUCAAUGGUGCUGCGACUUGAAGAAGACGAAGUCGGGAGGUCCUCCUCGCUAGGUCUAUGUGGCUGAUUCUGUUGCUAAACAAAAUCAAGAGUUGAGGGCUACUGUAUGUAGAGAUCGAGUAAAGAAGCAAGCAGCCCGGGAGGUUGAAGUUAAAAAGAGAGGUGAGGUAUAUAGCUGCUGAAGCUUUAGGUCCUCAGGUGUCCUCGUUCAUGGCUGCUCGAGAGAGAUGAAUGACUGAGGUGUUUUUUGUUUUGUGUGGCGCCCUCUCUUCAGCAU